UGCCCUUUCUUACCGCAAUGAUAGUACUCAAUAUUUGCAAACUUAUUUCUGGACUUGCUUCUGCUACAUUCUUUAUUCUUCGGCCCACGGCUCUUACUUCUCCCCCUGGUCUCAGCAACUAGAACAUCUGACUGUGAAGAGGAAUAUUGUGACUUUCUUCUCAUCUCUUCAUUCAAAACACUACUUUUAGCCAUAUCCAUUGUGAUCACACCAUUAGGAGCUGAGUUAGAUAACGACAUUCUAAACGUC
rnacentral:lncRNA from 1 species